ACCCGUGAUGAAGAAAUUAGAUCCAACUCCCAGGCCAGUUGAUACGUCUUCUGGUUCAUGCAGAUAAAGGCGAACGAACGGG
rnacentral:misc_RNA from 1 species